UACGUAGGGUGCGAGCGUUAAUCGGAAUUACUGGGCGUAAAGCGUGCGCAGGCGGUUAUAUAAGACAGAUGUGAAAUCCCCGGGCUCAACCUGGGACCUGCAUUUGUGACUGUAUAGCUAGAGUACGGCAGGAGGGGAUGGAAUUCCGCGUGUAGCAGUAGAAAUGCGUAGAUAUGCGGAGAACACCGAUGGCGAAGGCAACUCCCCGUGGGCCUGUACUGACGCUCAUGCAACGAAAGCGGU
rnacentral:rRNA from 1 species